rnacentral:lncRNA from 12 species
UGUGGCUGUUGUGUCAGUGCUGUGUGGCUGUUGUGCGUGCACAGUGUCAGUGCUGCGCGGCUGUUGUGUGUGCAUGGUGACAGUGUCAGUGCUGUGUCAGUAGUGUGUGGCUGUUGUGUCAGUGCUGUGUCAGUGCUGCGUGGCUGUUGUGUCAGCGCUGUAUCAGUGUGCGGUGUGGCUGUUGUGCGCGCACGGUGUCAGUGCUGUGCGGCUGUUGUGUCAGUGCUGUGUCAGUGCAGCGUGGUUGUUGUGCACGCACGGUGACAGUGCUUUAUCAGUUCUGUGUGGCUGUUGUGUGCGCACAGUGUCAGUGCGGUAUGGCUGUUGUGUCAGUACCCUGUGGCUGUUGUGUCAGUGCUGUGUGGCUGUUGUGCACGCACGGUGACAGCGCUGUAUCGGCGCUGGGCGGCUGUUGUGUCAGCGCUGUCAGUACUGUGCGGCUGUUGUGUCAGCGCUGCGUGGCUGUUGUGUCAGUACUGUGUGGCUGUUGUGCGUGCACGUGGUGUGUGGCUGUUGUGUCAGCGCUCUAUUGGUGCUGUGUGGCUGUUGUGUCAGUGCUGUGUCAGCGCUGUAUCAGAGCUGCAUGGCUGUUGUGCACGCACGGUGACAGCGCUGUGUCAGUUCUGUGUGGCUGUUGUGUGCGCACAGUGUCAGUGCUGCGUGGCUGUUGUGUCAGUGCUGUGUGGCUGUUGUGUCAGCGCUCUAUUGGUGCUGUGUGGCUGUUGUGUCAGUGCUGUGUCAGCGCUGUAUCAGAGCUGCAUGGCUGUUGUGCACGCACGGUGACAGCGCUGUGUCAGUUCUGUGUGGCUGUUGUGUGCGCACAGUGUCAGUGCGGUAUGGCUGUUGUGUCAGUACCCUGUGGCUGUUGUGUCAGUGCUGUGUGGCUGUUGUGUCAGCGCUCUAUUGGUGCUGUGUGGCUGUUGUGUCAGUGCUGUGUCAGCGCUGUAUCAGAGCUGCAUGGCUGUUGUGCACGCACGGUGACAGCGCUGUGUCAGUUCUGUGUGGCUGUUGUGUGCGCACAGUGUCAGUGCGGUAUGGCUGUUGUGUCAGUACCCUGUGGCUGUUGUGUCAGUGCUGUGUGGCUGUUGUGCACGCACGGUGACAGCGCUGUAUCGGCGCUGGGCGGCUGUUGUGUCAGCGCUGUCAGUACUGUGCGGCUGUUGUGUCAGCGCUGCGUGGCUGUUGUGUCAGUACUGUGUGGCUGUUGUGCGUGCACGGUGACAGUGUCAGUGCUGUGUCAGUGCGGUGUGGCUGUUGUAUCAGUGCCGUGUGGC